AGCUAUUACGGAGUAUUAUCUAUUGCUAUUAUUAAAUUUACAAGGGGACUGCAUUGUCAACAUUGUUUUUCCAACUUCUUAUCACAUUUCUUCAUGCCUUCUUCUUUUGGCAGUGCACUUAGGCAUCAAGAAACUCCUUCCCGAGGAGGGUUAAAAAUGAAGUUGUUCAAAAAAACUGCAAGUAUUAUGCUGUUGGUGCAUAAAAUUUUAAUUAUUGACAUAGGUUGUUUGAUGCAGAUUAGGCUGUUGAAUUGAAGUUUCAAUUAUAGUCGUGCUACGACUGUAGGUGUCAGACUUUGUUCUUGGUAGAAGAAGCUUAACUUCCAUUGGAUCCUUACAACAUACCAUGGAGCAUAGGAGGGUGCACCGUGUUUACGAAUCCAACAAGACACAUGAGGUGGCGAGCUUUGCUUGAAAAAACCCUACAGGAUUCCA